GGGCCUGUAGCUCAGCUGGGAGAGCGCCUGCUUUGCACGCAGGAGGUCAGCGGUUCGAUCCCGCUCAGGUCCA
rnacentral:tRNA from 1 species